AUGGCGGCGCGGACAGCGUUCGGGGCCGUGUGCCGGCGCCUCAGGCAGGGAUUGGGGAAUUUUUCUAUAAACAGUUCUAAGGGCGAUGAAGUCAAAAAUGGUGGCUUUCUUCUCAGUACCAAUAUGAAGUGGGUACAGUUUUCAAACCUACAUGUUGAUGUUCCAAAGGAUUUGACCAAACCUGUGAUAACGAUCUCUGAUGAACCAGACACAUUAUAUAAGCGCCUGUCGGUUUUAGUGAAAGGUCACGAUAAGGCUGUAUUGGACAGUUAUGAAUAUUUUGCUGUGCUUGCUGCUAAAGAACUUGGUAUCUCUAUUAAAGUACACGAACCUCCAAGGAAAAUAGAGCGAUUUACUCUUCUCAAAUCAGUGCAUAUUUACAAGAAGCACAGAGUUCAGUAUGAAAUGAGAACACUUUACAGAUGUUUAGAGUUAGAACAUCUAACUGGAAGCACAGCAGAUGUCUACUUGGAAUAUAUUCAGCGAAACUUACCUGAAGGGGUUGCCAUGGAAGUGACAAAGACACAGAACAGUUACCAGAACACAUCAAGGAGCCAAUCUGGGAAACGCUAUCAGAAGAAAAAGAAGAAAGCAAGUCAUAAAGCCUCGGGGAGGCCAUUUGUGCCUGAAUUUGGAAUGAGGGUGGGCCAGAUGAGUAUGUUUAAGCAGAGAGUGCUUCCAGCUGAGAUGAUUGGAGUCCGCCUAACUGUUCCAUUGAGUUUUCGUGCCUUCAUCAGCUGAGAGCAGGGAAUGGAACUUUAAUGGAAGAACCACUUUUAUCUAUUCUUUUUAUACAUGUCAUUGUUUCAGUUCUGAUUUCAACAAACAUGAGCAAACCACUUUGACUCAAA